GUACUCGCUUUGGUAGCACGUAUAUUAAAAUUGGAAUGAUACAGAGAAGAUUAGCAUGACCCCUGUGCAAGGAUGACAUGCAAAUUUGUGAAGUGUUCCAUAUUAUU